AAUUGUGAAAAUUAGUCAUAUUCAAACUCUAUAGAAUCGUCGCGUUUACUGCGGCCAUUUUCGGAAUCCAAGUACAAUAAUAGGCGCAGUAUACUCCGUAAGAAGUUUUCCUAAAAAAAAAAAAAAAAAAAAACCGAUAGAAAUCCGUCCGACUCUAUACGCGGCCGCACGAGUGUUUUGCCCGCGGUAAACUGUAAAUCGUGCUUAACAGUGUAAAAAAAAAAAACCAAAUAGUUCGUAGGCGUCUAAAUAAGUUUGUCGUCAUCAAUGCGUUUCGCGGUGCGGACAGCGUCUUGGUUUUGGGGCGAGAAAAUCGGUUUUGUAGUAAAAAAAAAAAAAAAAAAAAGAAAAAGCAAACGUUAAAUUUCCCCUGUCGUCUAUUUACGCGCGUGUAUACUUUGGUUAGGUUAGGUUAGGUUAGGCCUCCUCGGGGCUGGCCGCAGAAGGUGGAGGGGCUCGGCGUUGCAGAAACUUAUCGAAUUAUCGCAUUUAUAUAAAUACACACACACACACACACACACACCCACACACACGAUCACUCUGUAUAUCACAUUGCGCGCGGACAUACAUCAUAGCCGCCGUGAUUCCCCCGAACGCGAGUGUUCCCCCGACGAGCAACAGUCCGAAUCGAAUUAUACCCCGCGCGUAUAUCGUACCAUUAUACGCGUAAUACACUG